AAAAAUCCCCACGUUUUAUUUUGUGCCCCUAUACUUACUGGUGUAACUACUCAUGUAACAAUCUUUAAAUAGGGAAAACAUGGAAGUGUUUGGUGACUUCUAAAUUCAUCCCUGUGUGGAUCCUAAGGAAUGAAUGGUCUAGACUAAAUGCUAACACAUUCACGAUGCACUGCACGCAUUGAAAAUAGACAGGGGUUUAUAAUUUCGUCUAAGUUGAGGUAAGAACAUAGUAAAAAUAAAAAAUAAAAACGGUGUAGCUUUCCUUUAAGUAGGGAAUAACCACCAGGAGGCCGGACAACAGUUACAUAUCGCCAAGUGGAGGGAUUUCUGCCCUAGACUUCUUGUCACCUUCCUCUUACACCUCUCGUAACAUCCUCCCAGCCAAUCAGAAUCAACCUUUUACAAAAGAAGUUAUAUAACAAUUAGCUGUUGUUCUUCUCUCUGUCUCUUUCUCGUAGACAGCUGCUGAAUUUAGAAAACACCUGGACGAACAGAUGUGGGAGAGAAGGAAACUCAACCAAAGUUGAGAAAUGAAGUCCAUUCUCUUAAAAAUGAAAAUGCACGUCUGAAUGACAUUAUCAUCAAUCAAAUCCCUCAAAUGAAAAGUGACCUCGCCAUUAUUGCUCAAAAGACUGGAAGGACUCCUGUGGAGGAUCUUGAUUCCUCCUCGACUUUUGGAGAAGUGCAACCGUGAUGGACCUGAUGGGCUGACAGCUGCCGACAUAGUGUCAAAUCUGUCACAUAAUCUUAACAAAACAUCCUGUAGCAGAUUUAACAUUAACCGGGCGAAUGUCUGGGAUGGUGCCUGAAGAGGUUUCAGGAGAUCCUGGUUUGACCCCACCUGCAGCUUAAUGGUGAAAUUCACAGAUGAUGCUGGGCUGAUGGAAGAAGCUUUAGACAGUGGGGGGCUACUCCAGAAUUUCUGACUCUGUUGAUGGACACCAUCAAAACAAGGAGAGGAUUUGAAGCCAAAGACAAUGCCAAAUACCUCUCAUUUGAUAGUAAAGGUAAUCAUUUUUGUGAAGUU